rnacentral:rRNA from 1 species
CUUACCCUACGAAAGCAUCCGCCCGAGAACUACGAGCACAAACGCUUAAAACUCUAAGGACUUGGCGGUGCCUCAAACCCACCUAGAGGAGCCUGUUCUGUAAUCGACAACCCACGAUGCACCCAACCACUUCUUGCCAAAACAGCCUACAUACCGCCGUCGCCAGCUCACCUCCCCUGAGAGCACAACAGUGAGCACAAUCGCCCUAACCCCGCUAACAAGACAGGUCAAGGUAUAGCCUAUGAAGUGGAAGAAAUGGGCUACAUUUUCUAGCUUAGAAAACCCCCUCCAAACGAAAGAGAGUAUGAAACAACUCUCAGAAGGCGGAUUUAGCAGUAAAGCGGGAUAAUAAAGCCCCCUUUAAACUGGCUCUGAGGCACGUACAUACCGCCCGUCACCCUCCUCACAAGCUUCAACCCCCAAUAAAUAAUACACCCACUUGCCAAAGAUGAGGUAAGUCGUAACAAGGUAAGUGUACCGGAAGGU